CUGUGGGGGAUUGCAGCAUAUUGACCCAGGGGACCAUACAUUGAACAGUUGACCUAGGGAAAAACAUUGCUGAGAACAUAAAAUUGUUUAUUAGGCUCUCUCUAAUGUGUCAU